GUACACACCGCCCGUCACAUCACGAAAGUGGAUUGUACUAGAAGUCUGCAAGCUAACCCGCAAGGGAGGCAGCGGCCCAAGGUGUGAUCCAUGAUUGGAGUGAAGUCGUAACAAGGUAGCCGUAGGUGAACCUGCAGAAGGAUCA
rnacentral:rRNA from 1 species